GUGAAAAAGAACCUGAAACCGUGUACGUACAAGCAGUGGGAGCACGCUUCGGCGUGUGACUGCGUACCUUUUGUAUAAUGGGUCAGCGACUUAUAUUCUGUAGCAAGGUUAACCGAAUAGGGGAGCCGAAGGGAAACCGAGUCUUAACUGGGCGUUAAGUUGCAGGGUAUAGACCCGAAACCCGGUGAUCUAGCCAUGGGCAGGUUGAAGGUUGGGUAACACUAACUGGAGGACCGAACCGACUAAUGUUGAAAAAUUAGCGGAUGACUUGUGGCUGGGGGUGAAAGGCCAAUCAAACCGGGAGAUAGCUGGUUCUCCCCGAAAGCUAUUUAGGUAGCGCCUCGUGAAUUCAUCUCCGGGGGUAGAGCACUGUUUCGGCAAGGGGGUCAUCCCGACUUACCAACCCGAUGCAAACU
rnacentral:rRNA from 1 species